CCGGCUCCGCAUGGGCAGAGUAAUAUUGUACUUCACAUAAAAUGCAUGCAAUUAGCUGCUGCUCCGACAAAUGGAACACAGCGUUUGCUUCAGCUGCACCGAGCACACCGGGUCGGAGCCACGUGCUGGGUUUGGAGGAACGCGGACACCUCAACGUGUCAGCAAACACGGCUGUAUCAGAUACACACCUGCACCAAUAGCAAUAAUAAUAAUAAUAAACUGUAAUAAUAACAAGUUGACCUACCGAUGGGAAAUAGCCCUUCUGCAGCCUUUCUCUCUUCCAGUCUCUCGCAGGAAUAGUUACGGGUUUCUAACCCCCUGUUGGAAUAGUUACGGAACACCGUUAACCGCCGAGGCACGGGAAGGGAUUUGGCUCAGAUCCGUAGCGCGCUGCGUGCCCGUCCCGGACCCAGCAGGCAGAGCCGCUGCCCGAGCCCAGCCGCCCCCCCGACGGCGCUGGGGCCGCUUCUUCGCAGGAAUGGCCGCACCCGGCGGCCGCGGGCUCACCUCAGCGGGGCCGCGCGAGGAGGCACGGCGCGCGGCAGGGCCGGGCCUUUGCCCCCACGGGGCGGGGGACGGAGGGGGCAGCCGACGUCGGCGUCGUUAACGUUGCAGAGCCCGUCUGCGGGACGGUUCGGAGGGGACAGCAGGCGCGGGGUGGUCGCGGUUCGGUGCCGGGCCGCGUUUCCCCUCGGGGGGCGGUACCGCCUCACGGCCCGGGGCCGCCGAGCGCCCCCGCGGUCGGUGCCCCACUGCCCCGACGGGGCCCGCGCGACCCCUCGCGCGACCUCUCGCGCAGCGCAAGGGCGGGAAGCGCGGCGCGAGCCCCGGCGCGGAGCUGCGCGGGCGCGUGGCAGCGCCACGGGACGGGGUCCCCGCGGCGGCUCCGCGCGACGAGCCUCGGAGGCGCGCGGGAAGAAGGCACGCGCCCUCCGGCCUCCGCCCGGGCGUCCACGCAGGGGUCACAGCACGGACGGACGGACGGCCGCAGCGCGCACCAAAACGCCUUCGGGGUUUUCGCGGGACACCGCUCCGCUUCCCGACCCGACGGCGCUCCUCCCGCCCGCGCGCACAGCGCUCGCUCCCGGCCCCGGGCGGCCCCGCAGGCUGCUCUCACGGACGGCGCGGCGCUGCCCCACAGACGAUUACUCAUUACAAAGAUUUACAGCGAUAUAAAGAAAGAGGGGGAAACUGCAAAGAAAUUUGAGGAGAGUUUGUCAGCAUAUUUGGCACCUGCAGGGACCGGUAAUGGAUUUGGCACUCGGGGGCAAGGGGAGGAGGAAUAUCACGAAAAUAAUAAUAUUGCUGCUGUCGAGCUAUUCCUUUUAAAGAAAGAUACGGAGGCAGUUGAUUUCGCUUUGGGAAGGCGUCAUGCUACUUUAAUCGACUUUCCUACGAGACGUAUUUCUGUUCUGCUGGAGGGAAGCUCAGUCGUGCCUGAGCCGUGUCAGCCCAGGGCAGGGCGGAAUUCGUUCAUGCGAGGAACUGCGGAGAAAGGCGGAGAGCCUCCGCUCGCGGCCGCGCGGCGCUGCCGGAGGCGCUGCGGGAGCGGUCACCUGGGGGCGGACCGGGGAAGGGCGCGGGGGCAGAAGAGGGAAAUUUAAACAGGAUCUAAGUGUUACGACUUAACAAGGAAAACGAAAUAUAAACUCAAACAAAUAGGAAACAAAACCAAAGAAAAGUAAUAAAUUAAGUACUAUGUACA
ensembl:lncRNA